rfam:Rhodoluna lacicola strain MWH-Ta8 chromosome, complete genome.
GCCAGGGUUCUAUUCACAACGGAUCGUCCGGCACGUACCUGCCGGUGAAGGAAAUAUCA